rnacentral:rRNA from 1 species
AUUGAACGCUGGCGGCAUGCCUUACACAUGCAAGUCGAACGGUAACAGGUCUUCGGACGCUGACGAGUGGCGAACGGGUGAGUAAUACAUCGGAACGUGCCCAGUCGUGGGGGAUAACUACUCGAAAGAGUAGCUAAUACCGCAUACGAUCUGAGGAUGAAAGCGGGGGACCUUCGGGCCUCGCGCGAUUGGAGCGGCCGAUGGCAGGUUAGGUAGUUGGUGGGAUAAAAGCUUACCAAGCCGACGAUCUGUAGCUGGCCUGAGGGGACGACCAGCCACACUGGGACUGAGACACGGCCCAGACUCCUACGGGAGGCAGCAGUGGGGAAUUUUGGACAAUGGGCGAAAGCCUGAUCCAGCAAUGCCGCGUGCAGGAUGAAGGCCUUCGGGUUGUAAACUGCUUUUGUACGGAACGAAAAAGCUCCUUCUAAUACAGGGGGCCCAUGACGGUACCGUAAGAAUAAGCACCGGCUAACUACGUGCCAGCCGCCGCGGUAA